UACGUAGGGGGCAAGCGUUGUCCGGAUUCAUUGGGCGUAAAGAGCGUGUAGGCGGCCUGAAAGGUCAGCUGUGAAAACUCGAGGCUCAACCUCGAGACGUCGGUUGAAACCAUCUGGCUAGAGUCCGGAAGAGGAGUGUGGAAUUCCCGGUGUAGCGGUGAAAUGCGCAGAUAUCGGGAAGAACACCAGUGGCGAAGGCAGCGAAUUGGCGCUAUAUUGACGCUCAGGCACGAAAGCAUGGGGAUCAAACAGG
rnacentral:rRNA from 1 species